AAUUCCAAAGGCUAAGGAAAGCAUUGCGCAUGCGGGAAACCCACGCUGAGGGAAGAAUCAUGGGAAAGAGUAGAGACGGGGUUCCACCGUGUUAGCCAGGAUGGUCUCGAUCUCCUGACCUCGUCAUCCUCCCGCCUUGGCCUCCCAAAGUGCUGGGAUUACAGGCUUGAGCCACCGCGCCCCGCUCUUUCGUGUUCCAAAGGCUUUUUAAAUAAACUUCCACUCCUGUCCUGGAUUCUGCUUUAUGGCCCUCAGUCGAAUUCUUUCUUCUGAGGAGGCAAGGACUGAAGUUGCUUCUGACCAGUACAGGAGAAAACGAAUACAGCAGGGAUGACUUCCACCAGCUCCACUUUGCAGCUCUGAGGUGUAUUAAAAAUAAACCUAGAGCCCCACCAAAUGAAUCCGCUGGCACGUGGACCUCAGAUGGGGGAAACUGAGGACUGAAUUCUGACCACCCUCCUUUGUUCUAAAUUUCUUCCUGAAGGACCUGGAAGAAGUCAUGCCACGGGCCAGACCUUAACAUUCCUUUCGGCUUACCCCAGGAUUUCAGACGAAGCUUCACUUUCCUAACCAGUCACAAAUCAGAGAAUUUUUGAUUCCACCUAUGACCUGUGAGCUCCUGCUUCAAGAUAUUCCACCUUUUUUAGGCCAAACCAAUGUAUAACCUCCAAGUGUCGAUUUACACUUUCGACUGUAACUUCUGCUUUCCUGAGAUUUACCCCUGCCUUUAAAAACCCUUGCUUGUAAUCCCUCAGGGAGGCCGUGUAUUUAUUAAUCAUGAGCUGCCCAAUUCUCCUUGCUUGGUGCCCUGCAAAUAAACACCCUCUUUUCUCCCACUGCAAAACCUCAGUGUGGAUGUUUGGCUUUACUUCACCCCCAGGAAAGCAGACCCAGGUUUGACUCAGCAACAACAUCUGUUUCUAUUUUUCUCUGUAUAAAUAUUAAAAACCAUAAGUACAUGCUAUCUCCAAUUCCAAUAUAAACCCAUAGGGCUCAUUCUGGCCUUCCCAUUUUCUUAUGUGUAAUUCAUUUCUCUGAAAAUGAGAAUUCGAGUACUCAGAUAUUUACUUACCUACUCAAUCCUAGAAUAGAAAUAAAAUAAUUCAACAUAA
rnacentral:sRNA from 1 species